CGUAGAUGACGCUGGCGGCGUGCUUAACACAUGCAAGUCGAACGAUGAUCUCCAGCUUGCUGGGGGGAUUAGUGGCGAACGGGUGAGUAACACGUGAGUAACCUGCCCUUGACUCUGGGAUAAGCCUGGGAAACUGGGUCUAAUACCGGAUACGACCGUCCCGCGCAUGCGGUGGUGGUGGAAAGCUUUUGCGGUUUUGGAUGGACUCGCGGCCUAUCAGCUUGUUGGUGGGGUAAUGGCCUACCAAGGCGACGACGGGUAGCCGGCCUGAGAGGGUGACCGGCCACACUGGGACUGAGACACGGCCCAGACUCCUACGGGAGGCAGCAGUGGGGAAUAUUGCACAAUGGGCGAAAGCCUGAUGCAGCGACGCCGCGUGAGGGAUGACGGCCUUCGGGUUGUAAACCUCUUUCAGUAGGGAAGAAGCGAAAGUGACGGUACCUGCAGAAGAAGCGCCGGCUAACUACGUGCCAGCAGCCGCGGUAAUACGUAGGGCGCAAGCGUUAUCCGGAAUUAUUGGGCGUAAAGAGCUCGUAGGCGGUUUGUCGCGUCUGCUGUGAAAGACCGGGGCUCAACUCCGGUUCUGCAGUGGGUACGGGCAGACUAGAGUGAUGUAGGGGAGACUGGAAUUCCUGGUGUAGCGGUGAAAUGCGCAGAUAUCAGGAGGAACACCGAUGGCGAAGGCAGGUCUCUGGGCAUUAACUGACGCUGAGGAGCGAAAGCAUGGGGAGCGAACAGGAUUAGAUACCCUGGUAGUCCAUGCCGUAAACGUUGGGCACUAGGUGUGGGGGACAUUCCACGUUUUCCGCGCCGUAGCUAACGCAUUAAGUGCCCCGCC
rnacentral:rRNA from 1 species